rnacentral:rRNA from 1 species
AGGACGAACGCUGGCGGCGCGCUUAACGACAUGCAAGUCGAGCGAGAACCGAAGCCUUCGGGCAUCGGGGAAAGCGGCGAACGGGUGAGUAACACGUGGGCAACCCACCCUUGGUACCGGGAUAGCCCGGGGAAACCCGGAUUAAUACCGGAUGGCCCAGCAGCCUUUCGGGGCGGCUGGAAAAGGGAGCUUCGGCCUCCGACCAAGGACGGGCCCGCGGCGGAUUAGCUUGUUGGUGGGGUAACGGCCUACCAAGGCGACGAUCCGUAGCUGGUCUGAGAGGACGAUCAGCCACACUGGGACUGAGACACGGCCCAGACUCCUACGGGAGGCAGCAGUGGGGAAUCUUGCGCAAUGGGCGAAAGCCUGACGCAGCGACGCCGCGUGGGGGAUGAAGGCCUUCGGGUUGUAAACCCUUUCAGCAGGGACGAAGCGAAAGUGACGGUACCUGCAGAAGAAGCGCCGGCUAACUACGCGCCAGCAGCCGC